rnacentral:rRNA from 1 species
UACGGAAGGCAGCAGUGGGGAAUAUUGCACAAUGGGCGCAAGCCUGAUGCAGCCAUGCCGCGUGUAUGAAAAAGGCCUUCGGGUUGUAAAGUACUUUCAGUCGUGAGGAAGGUGUUAAGGUUAAUAACCUUAGCAAUUGACGUUAGCGACAGAAGAAGCACCGGCUAACUCCGUGCCAGCAGCCGCGGUAAUACGGAGGGUGCGAGCGUUAAUCGGAAUUACUGGGCGUAAAGGGCACGCAGGCGGUUAAUUAAGUUGGAUGUGAAAUCCCCGGGCUUAACCUGGGAAUGGCAUUCAAGACUGGUUAGCUAGAGUCUUGUAGAGGGGGUAGAAUUCCAUGUGUAGCGGUGAAAUGCGUAGAGAUGUGGAGGAAUACCGGCGGCGAAGGCGGCCCCUGGACAAAGACUGACGCUCAUGUGCGAAAGCGUGGGGAGCAAACAGGGAUUAGAUACC